rnacentral:rRNA from 1 species
UAGGGAAUCUUCCGCAAUGGGCGAAAGCCUGACGGAGCAACGCCGCGUGAGUGAUGAAGGUCUUCGGAUCGUAAAACUCUGUUAUUAGGGAAGAACAAAUGUGUAAGUAACUAUGCACGUCUUGACGGUACCUAAUCAGAAAGCCACGGCUAACUACGUGCCAGCAGCCGCGGUAAUACGUAGGUGGCAAGCGUUAUCCGGAAUUAUUGGGCGUAAAGCGCGCGUAGGCGGUUUUUUAAGUCUGAUGUGAAAGCCCACGGCUCAACCGUGGAGGGGCAUUGGAAACUGGAAAACUUGAGUGCAGAAGAGGAAAGUGGAAUUCCAUGUGUAGCGGUGAAAUGCGCAGAGAUAUGGAGGAACUCCAGUGGCGAAGGCGACUUUCUGGUCUGUAACUGACGCUGAUGUGCGAAAGCGUGGGGAUCAAACAGG